rnacentral:rRNA from 1 species
UGACUGUAUUGAAAUUCUAACCUACGGGUCUUAUCGACCCGGGAGACAGUGUCAGGUGGGCAGUUUGACUGGGGCGGUCGCCUCCUAAAGUGUAACGGAGGCGCCCAAAGGUUCCCUCAGAAUGGUUGGAAAUCAUUCGUAGAGUGCAAAGGCAUAAGGGAGCUUGACUGCGAGACCUACAAGUCGAGCAGGGACGAAAGUCGGGCUUAGUGAUCCGGUGGUUCCGCAUGGAAGGGCCAUCGCUCAACGGAUAAAAGCUACCCCGGGGAUAACAGGCUUAUCUCCCCCAAGAGUCCACAUCGACGGGGAGGUUUGGCACCUCGAUGUCGGCUCAUCACAUCCUGGGGCUGUAGUCGGUCCCAAGGGUUGGGCUGUUCGCCCAUUAAAGCGGUACGCGAGCUGGGUUCAGAACGUCGUGAGACAGUUCGGUCCCUAUCCGUCGUGGGCGUAGGAAAUUUGAGAGGAGCUGUCCUUAGUACGAGAGGACCGGGAUGGACGCACCGCUGGUGUACCAGUUGUUCUGCCAAGGGCA